rnacentral:lncRNA from 10 species
GGAAUGUAUGAGGGAAUGGUGAAGCAUGAAAGAAAAGACAUCCAACUUCUUGGGGGAUAAAAUGUGUUUACUCACCACAGCAGCACUUUGGCCUGACUCCAUUAGAUAAGAAAAUUGAAGCCCAGAAGAUGGAAACACUAAGAGAGAAAAUGGGAGGAAUGUCCGCUGGCAGGUCAACUGGUUGUCUCCGUGAAAUCAUCAGUGAAUCCCGAAUUGGGUCUCAUCAACCUCUUUGGCCUUUAACAUUGCUGUGGCUGACAGGCUGUUUUAUACAAUCUGCCCCUUCCUACCUGCAUGUGCACACACAUGGAGACCUUCACACUUGUUCACAUCUGGUACUAAUGGAAGUCAAAGUCUUCCUGGGAAAUGCUGUGCCAUGAUGGUAGGAGUCCAAGCCAAUCCUGAAUUUUGGGUAGUGCCCAACCUGAUAUCUUAAUUGUACUGCUAGAAGAGAGAACAAUUUUCUUUCAACAAUUUUGGCAUUAGCAAAGUCUACUCACUCCCGGAAAAGAUGUGCUGCGAAACACAGUACCAUUGAACUUGACAAGUCCUGACUCUUAAAAAACUGGGUUUACUAGAUUAUUCUGCAAUACAGACAGCAGUAUAAAGGGAUAAAUGAAGAGGGGUUAUCAAAUUCUCUCCCUUGACAUUGGUUUCACAUUGUAUUCUUUCUUUCUGAGUUUCAUUCAGUGGCCAUCUCUUGUAAGCAAGCAAUCUUCCCCCAUUUUCGCAAAUUCACUUAAAAACAUAGCCAGUUAACUUGAGCCACAUCAUUGAAGUGCAACAGGGCUACAAUGAUACAGGUACGUGCUCAUCAAUUCCUUAAUGAUGGAGAGGCUUACCUGCCUUAUCUUUCCACUGUACAGUAUGCUCUGAGGGAAGGCCCAGAAUAAAAUCAAAAUUUUAAAGUCUAUAAUCUAGCAUUCUCUAGAACCUCAUAUGGGGCAUGUUAAUGAAGCAGUGGCUCUGGUCCAUGGCUGCCCAUUAAGAUCACCUGGCAACUUAUAGAAAACGCCAAUGCAUACGCUCUGUCUGCAGGGAAUGGGACUUCAUUGGUCAAGCGGGGAGCUCAGGUAGAGGGCUUAUUAUUUUUAAUGCUCCCAAGGCAUUUCCUAUUUGCACCAAGGAAUGGCACUACUUGGUCAGGGCAGAUUUGAAAGCAUGUUUCAUCGUAUACUACUUGUAUUGUCCUGACCAAGUUUGCUCAUUUUCGAAGACAGGACUAACAAUUAAUAUUUCCCUGGAUUGUUAUUCCCUGGAUGGGAUCACAUUUUCCCCAUUUGGAACUGACAUCGCUGCUUGAACUCUGUAGGCUACUAUUUAACAGGUCAAAGAUUUAGAUUUCCUUUUGUAAAAUGGAGAGUUUUAUAAGUAUAAACAUACAGGUUUAGUGUGGGGAUUGAGUGAAAUAACGUGAAAAGUACUUAGUCUGGUGCUUGGCACAUAAUUAGAUUUCAGCAGGCCUUAACCACUCUGUUCACUGCCUAGCAGAGUAUUUGGCCAAGGGUACACUCUAUAAAUCUAAAUCAUUUCCUCUCCUUUCCUUCCAUCUAUCACUAUCCCCUGUCCUGAUCUCUAUCGUUAUAAUUUGGGGUGUUUGUAUUUAGUAACCAAAUUCCUCUACAGGAGAUUAAGAUGUCUAAGUACAAUUUUGAAUUCCGUCUCUUUUAAAAUGAUGGUGAAUUAAAGAGGACACAGUGUGUGUACUUGUGGGACAAUGAAUAUACUUAUAGAUACAGUUAAGAUAUUACUCAGGUUCUAGUUUUUAAAGGUAAAGCAUGUAAACAUUGGGCAAUGCCAGGCACCUCAUAGAAACUCACAAACAUUCACAGUACCUUAUUACUCAAAGUACAGUCCUUGGACCAACAGAGUCAGCAUCUCUUGGGAGCUCGGUAGGAAACCAUGUUCUGAGGCCCCACCUCAGAACUGCCAAAUCAAAAUCUGCAUUUAAACAAUAUGGCCAAGUGAUUUGUGCACACACUGAAGUGUGAGAAAGACCGCCAUAGAAUGAUAAAAUGAUGGCUGACAAUUGAAAGUACCCAUGGACCUAGUUUACAGAGGUCUUAGUAUCAAUUCCUCACUGCUACUCCAGGCCAUCCUCAGCCCAGGCUGCCAAAUCAGCUACUAGGACCACAUUGUUGCAGUGUGAGGAAAAGCUCUGAGUCUGAAGUGGCUCUAAACCAAAUGCUCUAAACCAAAUCCCUUUAGUGUGAACAUACAGAGCCCUGGCCCUAUUCACAAGCUGUGCCUCACACCCCAUCACCUUUUUCCCAUACCCGGAUCUCCAGAUCUCAUCCUGACCUCCUGGACCUAGGGCUCAUUGCCUUAGCCUCUGAAAAUUCUCAUACUUUCCCACUGGAUCUGGCAAAUGGUGAUGCUCUUUCACUCCUCAUUCUUGACUUUCCCCUUUUGGCUGCAAUUGGCUCUUCUUAUGUUCUCCUCUUCUUCCCACUCUGUAAAACAGCUCCACCCGGGAGGUGAGGACUCUAGAACUAGACUGGCCACUGAGAAAGGAAAUCUGGGUAAGGAGGCAGAGUCAAGUGGGCUGUUGAGGGCUGCUUUGACCCUUUCAAAGUCAUCUGAGCCUCAGGCUGGCUCUGCGGGGGUGCAGCAUUCCUUACAGGAGCAUCAUUUCUUAGAGGAGGUGUGGGGUGGGAGAGGGAGUCUGUGAAUGCUGCCAGAGUAACCCUUGUUUGGUAAAGGGAACACUGCAAGUGGCUAAUACCACUCCUGAUUUUCUCUUUAGGAACUGCCAUUUUGAAAUGGCCUUUCAGGUUCUGGACUUUCUCCCUGUCUAUUCAUCUUGACCAAAUUGGUUAAAUAAAAGACACUCCGCUGUGCAAACCACAAUUAUGUGGGGAAUGAAACUCAAUAAAAGCUGCAUCUGAUGUAUACAUCAAUAGAUCAUUCA